rnacentral:rRNA from 1 species
UACAGAGGGGGCAAGCGUUGUUCGGAAUUACUGGGCGUAAAGGGAGCGUAGGCGGACAGUUUAGUCAGAGGUGAAAGCCCAGGGCUCAACCUUGGAAUUGCCUUUGAUACUGACUGUCUUGAGUAUGGGAGAGGUUAGCGGAACUCCGAGUGUAGAGGUGAAAUUCGUAGAUAUUCGGAAGAACACCAGUGGCGAAGGCGGCUCACUGGACCGGCAUUGACGCUGAGGUGCGAAAGCGUGGGGAGCAAACAGG